GGUUUUGUGGUGUAGCGGUAGCACUCUGGACUUUGAAUCCAGCAACCCGAGUUCGAACCUCGGCAGAACCA
rfam:Vittaforma corneae ATCC 50505 unplaced genomic scaffold supercont1.3, whole genome shotgun sequence.